ACGAAGGGUGCUAGCGUUGUUCGGAAUUACUGGGCGUAAAGGGCGUGUAGGCGGAUGAUCAAGCUAGAGGUGAAAGCCCAGGGCCCAACCCUGGAACUGCCUUUAGAACUGAUUGUCUAGAAUCCGUAAGGGGAGUGUGGAAUUCCUAGUGUAGAGGUGAAAUUCGUAGAUAUUAGGAAGAACACCAGUGGCGAAGGCGGCACUCUGGUACGGUAUUGACGCUGAGGCGCGAAAGCGUGGGGAGCAAACAGG
rnacentral:rRNA from 1 species